rnacentral:lncRNA from 1 species
AAAAAUCGAGUAACUAUUAAUGUCUGAUUUUGUUGGGCCCUGUGUAAUUAAGAGUGAAAUCUACAUAGGCAAUGAUGGCACGCGCUGUUAAUGAUGAUAUAUGACCACGCGACAGUAGCCUCGUACGGUGAUGGGUCCCAUUUAUGAUUUAUUUGAGACCGACUGUAAUGACCCUGGUCCACCUGCCUUUUGAACGCAUGCGAAUCACGCGCGCAUUUCGUUUUGUUUACUCACGUUUUUGCUAACAACAUUAGCACAGAUCGCCAUACACGUGUGAAUGAGGUGUUUGCGCAAAAUGGCACACCAUCGUGUGAUUGUUCACCAUUUGUUCACAAAUUUGUAAUACUUAAACACGAUCUCUUCAAAUGAAUCCAAUCGGCGUUUAAGAUCCCCCCAAUUUGCUCAUAUAUAGACAACCCUAAGUGUGAGGGCAUUAUUAAAUUUUGGAAAUUCAAAAAGAUAGCUCCUUGUCAUUUGUCAAAAUUAGCCCCAAAAAUUUAAAAAAAAAAACUAAUAUCAUUAUCAAAUUUGCAGUACCAAUUAUCAUGUGGUCAAAUGAGAAGUGAUUGAAAGUAACUUAAUUCCGAUGGCCAAACGAAGAUACCAAUUAAAUAGUGCUUCUAAAGGACAAAAAUUCUCCAAAUUCAUUGUCACUAAAAGCAUUAUGAACUCUUAGUAUUCCUUUUUAAAGUAGGUUAACGGGUCAAAAAAAAAACUUAGAAUUUGACUAGGAAAUUAAAGUCCAAAAAGAGAUUGUCCAAUGAUUCAUAUAUUGAUACAUGAUAGUAGUGACAAAUUACAAGCGUAUUUUUGUCUACUUACCUUAUAAUACAGGAAGUUGGACCACUUGGGCUAGUUUGCAUUGGCUAACCUAGAUUUGGAGAUUGUGCAUGCAACAUUUUUCAGUUAUAGCUUUUAGUUCUAAGUGGAACCUUUUAGGAUUUUAUCACAUUGGUUGCUUUUGGGAUUCGGCCAUCAUUUACAGCUUGUAUUUGAGAGUUGAGAAGUCGUUUUCAAAUAGGUUUUGGGUUUUUAGUUUUUACAUAAUAUUAUAUAAAGCUAUGUUUGUAGUGCAAAUUAGAUUAUGAGCUUGAUUUAUAUACGUUCAUUAAUUUUUUGUGCUAAAAUAAGAUGAGCAUUCCCACAAUUGAGUAUUACUAGACUUUAAUCUAUCAUUGACAAGUUUAAAUUGACUUAGAACGUGAACAUAAAUCAUGUGAAGGUAUAUUCGCAUUUUUUUUUCUUUUUAUUUAUUUAUUUAUUUUUGUUCAUAGAUCACACAAGAAUAUGUGAAGGUGGUAGUAUUUUUUUUUUUUUUAUGAGACUAUUGCUCAUGAUAGUUAUAAUUAUACAAAUACUGAGACCGGUCUAUAUCAAAUCUUAUAUAGCAAAAAGCUAUAUAAAAUUAGAUUAUGAGCUUGAUAUAUAUACGUUCAUUAAUUUUGUGCUAAAAUAAGAUGAGCAUUCCCAUAAUUGAGUAUUACUAAACUUUAACCAAUCAUUGACAACUAUAAAUUGACUUAGAACAUGAACAUAAAUCAUGUGAAGGUGUAUUCACAUUUAUUUUCUUUUUAUUUUUUCGUGGUUUCAUUAUAGUUCACAUAAGAAUAUAUGAAGGUGGUAGCGCUUUUUUUUAAUGAGACUAUUGUUCAUGAUAUUUACAAUCAUAUAAUUACUGAGACUAAUUUAUAUCAAAUAUUAUAUAACACCGUCCAGAUAUUAACACUCUUAAAUAUUUUAGGAACGUCAACUCCACUCUUGGAAGAAAAACUAUCUUCAUUCAAAUUUAAAAAAAUAAAUUAAAUUAAACCUCUACAAUACAUCUAAGGAGACUCUAACCAUUUCCCUCGCACUGGUGAGGGAGUAGCUUUAUAACCAUUGGGCCAAGCCCAAGUGGUUGAAGGUGGUAGUACUUGGUCUUAAAAAAUGGGCCUUUUUUUUUUCUUUUCCUUUUGAAAACAAAGUGAAAAGUAACUAUGACAAUAUGUCACGUAACCUAACUGUAUUACUCAACUAUGAAAUGAUAAACAAGAAGAUCCAAUAGUGGUGAUUGUUAGUGCAUUUUGGCUUUCAUUUUGCAGGUUGUUUUGAAUUCCUCUUAGUACCUCUAUCAUUAUUUAUAUAUGACAAGUACAUUUAUCUACCUAAAUGCUUAGCAAAUUGCUAGUUGCCCUAUAUUUGAGUAGUAAGAGUCUUUCAAGAACUCUUUGUAUUCCUCUCUUAAUUAGAAAUUGAAUAAAAUUAGGUAUUUUUCCUUUUGAUUUGUUGUGAAUGGAGUCAUGGAGUAAAUAUUCCUUCAAUACUUAUGAGGGUAGAAUAGAAAUAUAGACAAUAUGGUAGACUUUUGGUUAUGUAAUACGUAUCAAUAAUUAAAAAAAAAUAAAAGUUUAGCAAAUUAAAUUAAAUUUAAGAAUUUUUAAAAUUGAUAAAUCACAUAUUAAUAUAUAAACAUUUUACCAUCCGACUGAGUUAUCCAUUGAAGAUUACAUAAACGUAAUUUCUUAAUCGACAAGCAAGUCUUUUGAUUUUGCUUUUAUGGAUCAUGGUUGAUUGCGAACAUUCUUUCUGUUCGGUAAUGGGGAAUGUCCUUUGAACAUUUUUAGCUCAAAUAAUUCGAAUCAUAUUUUACCACACAGUAAUGAUCCCAAAAUGCGACAAGUUGUGAAUAUCUUUUUUUUUUUUUUUAAAUUAUUUUAUUUCCUUGACUGUGAAAGUGAAGAUUCCCUCAGCAGGCAGGCCUUUCGAAUUGUUUGUUUGUGGAUGCUGCAAUCAUUCCAGCAUUUUACGAUUUUAUGUGUGUUUUCAAUUUAAUUUUUCUAUUUUAGAUGUGGAAUCUGUUGCCGAUUAGUUGUUUUCACGACCUCUUUUUUAUUUGCCAGAGACAAUUGUCUCUUACCAUUGGACACUUGAGCUUUGCUUUGUUGCCCCACUCUCUCUUGAUAUCGUCUUUUUAUUACUUGUCAAUUGUAAUCAAAAUAAAAGGAGUUCUUUUUGGUAAAUUUGACCAAA